GGCUGGAGGAGGAAAAUCCAUGUCUAAGCAGAACAGCUGUGAAUGAGGAGGUCCCUCCUUAAGCACAGUUUGCCUAAACAGCUCUGAACCGGGAUGGUGCCCUAAAAGGGCGUUUCCGGAGUUUAGGGUGAGAACUUACCACUGUGCCUGCUAGUAGGGGCCUUGAGCCUGUUACAUGAAGAGGAGAAUCAUUUGGCCUGCCUUGCCAUUGUCAACAAAUGGACCUGAUUACACUUGUACGGUUCAACUCUAGUUGAAAAGAAAAUAAGCCUCUGAACAAAUAAGCAUUUGUUCCUCCAGG
rnacentral:lncRNA from 1 species